rnacentral:lncRNA from 1 species
UUAAAAUUCUAAUGAAUAUGAAUUUGAAUGAAUAUGGCUAUGAAUUUUAAUUGAAUUUUACUUGAAUUUUAAUGGAUAUGGUUGGUGUAUACCAAUCGAACUUCUUAUAUCUUCUUGGUUAUCUUCCAAUACAAGUAUCGGGAGUGCAAUUGUUUUCUUAUACCGCCCUGUCUACGUCACUCAAUCUACAUGCAGUAAAAUAUUCGACAUUAGCUAAUUGCACAUUGAUGCUUGCAAACUAUAGCUGUGUUAGUGGUAGGAAUGACAGAAACUGCAGGAAAUCCUGUAAUUAUGCCACAGAUAUCAGAAAAUCAGGUACAGAAUUUAGAAAAGACUUCAACGAAAGGCGAACCCAAUCUAUCUGAAACUGUUAACAGCAGACCUG